rnacentral:rRNA from 1 species
AUUGAACGCUGGCGGCAGGCCUAACACAUGCAAGUCGAGCGGCGGGGCGGACGGGGGAGUAAUGCCUAGGAAUCUGCCUGGUAGUGGGGGAUAAGGUUCAGAACCGGGAGCUAAUACCGCAUCCUCUCACCAGCGCCUAAGUCGGAUUAGCUAGUGGGUGGGGUAAAGGCCUACCAAGGCGACGAUCCGUAACUGGUCUGAGAGGAUAAUCAGGCACACUGGAACUGAGACACGGUCCAGACUCCUACGGGAGGCAGCAGUGGGGAAUAUUGGACAAUGGGCGAAAGCCUGAUCCAGCCAUGCCGCGUGUAUGAAGAAGGCCUUCGGAUUGUAAAGCACUUUCAGUUGGGAGGCGUUACCAACAGAAUAAGCACCGGCUAACUCCGUGCCAGCAGCCGCGGUAAUAC